rnacentral:ncRNA from 1 species
AUCAGAGGUGCGUGGUUUAUAAGUAGAACAGCGGAAGUUCGUGCAGACUGAUGAAACUGUUUAAAAGGAGACCAUGCCGAAAGAGCCGUAUGCCCGAUGCGGUUGCUUGGCUUGUGUCUUAAGAGGACACCGGCUGUCACCGGAGUUCCGGCGGAGCGCUG